UACGUAGGGCGCAAGCGUUAUCCGGAAUUAUUGGGCGUAAAGAGCUCGUAGGCGGUCUGUCGCGUCUGCUGUGAAAACUCAGGGCUUAACCCUGAGCUUGCAGUGGGUACGGGCAGACUAGAGUGCGGUAGGGGAGACUGGAAUUCCUGGUGUAGCGGUGAAAUGCGCAGAUAUCAGGAGGAACACCGGUGGCGAAGGCGGUUCUCUGGGCAUUACCUGACGGCUGAGGAGCGAAAGUGUGGGGAGCGAACAGG
rnacentral:rRNA from 1 species